rnacentral:rRNA from 1 species
UACGUAGGGUGCAAGCGUUAAUCGGAAUUACUGGGCGUAAAGCGUGCGUAGACGGUUAUCUAAGUCGGGUGUGAAAGCCCCGGGCUCAACCUGGGAAUUGCAUUCGAGACUGAAUAGCUAGGGUUCGGAAGAGGGAAGCGGAAUUUCCGGUGUAGCGGUGAAAUGCGUAGAUAUCGGAAGGAACACCAGUGGCGAAAGCGGCUUCCUGGUCCAGAACCGACGUUCAGGCACGAAAGCGUGGGGAGCAAACAGG